AUAUUUAGGAAAAUUAAAUUUCGAGUAACAAAAAGAAUUUUUAGUAAAUGGUAUCAAAAUACCGUUUACUAAAAAUUAAUGAAAUAAAGAGGCCAAACAAAUAAUAUAGAAAUGGUCUGUGUUGAGCAGACUUAACAAAACCCGGGUUCGGUCAGCUUGGUUUACAAAUUUUUAUGUCUACUUAUCUGUUACAAUUUUUAUUUUAGGUUUGUCAUAUGACGCAUUAAUGCAAUAUAAAAGAUCAAAGUUUUCAUAUUUUUUUAAAUUUCUUAUACACGUGUUUGAUUGUAAAUUUAAUUUUUUUUUGUUUGAAACGUAUUUGUACUCAGCUGCUUAGUAGUUCCUGUAUAAUAUAAGUUAACUUAAUCCAUCUUAAUCCUAAAAGUUAAUUAAAGUUCAUGUUAUAAAAAUUAUUUACAAGGAUUUAGUUGAUGCUUUCGUCAAUUUAAAGCAUGAUGAAGUGUUAUUAUUUUGUGUCAGUAAUGAAAAACGUAUUGAGUCGAACUUAGGAAUGUUAAGGAAAAUGGUUUUGCCUUACACUGUUAUGACCUAUGUCAGUUGUAAAUUACUCAAAUAAUAUUAAGUAGUAAUUGUAAAUGUUAAGUAGUAGUUGGUAAAUUAUUUUACUUCUUGAUACUUUUUUAUGUUAAUUUUAGAUGAAUUAAUUUUUUCAAGUUGAAGACGUUUUUCUAAAAGGAUAUUAGUUACGGUUUUGCAACAUUAAAUUGUGGAAAACAGCCACUAUAAAUUAGUUACGUAACAGACCUACCAUAACCCGUAUUACAGAUUUAGGAAGGUGUUCAUCUAUGCAUCAUUGUUGGUUACGAAUUGUCAUAAAACAAUAUUAAUUUUCCAUAAAAUAUCUCAGUGCAGAAAAUCUAAAGUUUAAAUUUAAAUUUUACUCUAACUAUGUCAAUUCAAAAAUAAAUUAUUUUGGUAAAAACGCUAAAGAAAGAUACCUCAAAAGAAAGAUACCCCAAAAGAAAGAUAUCCCAAAAGAAAGAUACCCCAAAAAAAAGAUACCCGAAAAGAAAGAUACCCCAAACAAUUUUGUGUAGUACUAGAAAAAUUAAAGAAACCGUUGUAAAAUACUUUGUUGACACAAUUGUAAACGAGAUCAAUCAAAUGGAACUUGACAUAAAAUAGAAAUAUUUAAACAGUUAAACUGUGCGCAGUUUUACAUUGAUUAGUUUUAUCACUUGCUGAGCAUCAAUGUAAUUUAAGUUAACUUUUAUUUGUAUUUUUAUUUAAUUUGUAAACAACAGAAAUUUAGUCUAUCAAAUUUUUAUGAGUAUUAUUCUAUCUUAUCAGUAAUACCUCAUUUUUUUAUAAUUUUCAAUUAUUGUUGCAGUAUGGAAAUCUUACUUAAGUAAUUUAUUGUAUUAUAUAUUAUAUGUAUUACAUAUACUGUUAAGAUGA